CCUCAAAGUGCCAAAAUGGCAUUUAAACCUGAAUACUGAGGUUUAAGUUUCGAAAAAACAACUCAUACAGUUGUCCGAACUAAUUAACAUCUCUGUGUGUGUAUUUAGCAGUCUGUCUGUCUGUGUACUUAGCAGACUGCUGAAUACACACACAGACUGCUGAGUACACAGUCUGCUGAGUGUACACACACACAGACAGACUGCUGAGUGUACA